rnacentral:rRNA from 1 species
GAUGAACGCUGGCGGCGUGCUUAACACAUGCAAGUCGAACGAAGCACUUACCAAGGAUUCUUUCGGGAUGACUAAUAAGUGACUGAGUGGCGGACGGGUGAGUAACGCGUGGGUAACCUACCUCACACAGGGGGAUAACAGUUAGAAAUGACUGCUAAUACCGCAUAAGCGCACAGUGCUGCAUGGCACAGUGUGAAAAACUCCGGUGGUGUGAGAUGGACCCGCGUCUGAUUAGCUGGUUGGUGAGGUAACGGCCCACCAAGGCAACGAUCAGUAGCCGGCCUGAGAGGUUGAACGGCACAUUGGGACUGAGACACGGGCCCAGACUCCUACGGGAGGCAGCAGUGGGGAAUAUUGGGCAAUGGGCGAAAGCCUGACCCAGCGACGCCGCGUGAAGGAAGAAGGUACUUCGGGAAUUGUAAACUUCUUUUAAUCAGGGACGAAUACUGACGGUACCUGAUGAAUAAGCCACGGCUAAACUACGUGCCAGCAGCCGACGG